rnacentral:rRNA from 1 species
AUGGCGCCGGGCCGCGGCGGCCGCCGGCGUCCCAUCUUCUUGCAGACCGUGGGUCAUGUCUUGGACCCAUCUCGUGGAGGAGGAGAGCCAAACCAACAAGAAAAACUGCAGCUCGGCCGCGACAUGCAAGUUCCGCCUUCUCGUGGACGUCAACAGGUCUUACGAUGUCGAUUUUCCCAAGGGUUGUUUCGUUGCAUGUGCCGGAGCUUCCCAUGGAUGGCUGAUUUUGGUGAACCAACUCUCCAAUCUACUUCUCUUCAACCCCGUCACCUCGGACAUGGUCCCUACCGCCGAUCACCGAUUUCUCAUUUGUGGAGGCAGUAUAUGAUAGUCAAGGAUACAUAG